CUGUGCUUUCUAUUCUUCUCUCCUAAUAAACACUUUACUUGCCUCAAUACUUUUCAUCUCUUUGCUGAUUCUUUCUUCAAAGCAGAUGACAGCCAGGGCCCUGCUCCUAGCCAAUAGUCCCUGGUGGUCUAGUGGUUAGAAUUCGGUGCUUUCACUGCUGUGGUCCGGGUUCAAUUCCCAGGGAACUGAGAUCCCACUUCAAGCUGCCGCUCACUGUGGUCGCUCACAGCCACCUGAGAUCAGGGCCUUUAGACUCAGACUGAAUCACACACCAGCUUUCCUGGUUCCCAGCUUGCAGAUGGCAGACUAUGGGACUUCUUGGCUUCCGUCACUGCUUCCUAAUGUGUGUGCAGUGGUGUCUCGUGGGUUUGAUUUGCGUUUCCCUGAUGACCAUCUUGAGUAUCUUUUCAUGUGCCUAUUGCCCAUUUGUAUGUCUCCUCUGGAGAAAUGCCUAUUCAAGGCCUCUGCACACUUUUAACUGGGCUGCUUGUCUUUUUCUUGCUCAGUUGAAGGGGAUCCUUAUAUAUUCCGAAUAUAAACCCCUAAUCAGAAACAUGGUUUGCAAAUAUUUUCUCCCAUUUUGUGAAUUGCUGUUUCACUGUUGAUUGGUUAUCCUUUGAUGAAAAAAUUCUUAAAUUUUGAUG